GGCCGCUCUGCCUGCACCAUGUGAGGAGCCGUGGGAUGGAUGAUUUCAAAGCUGCCUUUGAUGAAGACUAUCUACCACCUCAAGUUGGAGGAGCUGGAAAGAAAAGACCAGGACAGAAGGGAGGUAAAAGUCUCAGGAGGAAGGAGGGAAAGGAAUUGUCACUGAAGAAAGACAUCUACCCCAAAAAAUAGUGAAGGGAGAAGAAUGGCCUCUUCCAGAGAGAACGGGUCACGUGAUGAGAAUGAAAGAAUGGGACUGGGAAGAAGAAGUCUCCAAAGACAGGAGAGAAGCUUAACAGCCUUCCUGGAAGAACACGUCGAGGGAUGGGGUGGGGGGGACGAGAAGUGUGGCCUGUCCAGGAGAAGAGGACAGGCGAUGCAGACGGAAGGCACGGUGAGAGGAAAGGAAGACGAGGCGGGUGCCCGCCAGAGAUGAUUUCAAAGCUGCCUUUGAUGAAGACUAUCUACCACCUCAAGUUGGAGGAGCUGGAAAGAAAAGACCAGGACAGAAGGGAGGUAAAAGUCUCAGGAGGAAGGAGGGAAAGGAAUUGUCACUGAAGAAAGACAUCUACCCCAAAAAAUAGUGAAGGGAGAAGAAUGGCCUCUUCCAGAGAGAACGGGUCACGUGAUGAGAAUGAAAGAAUGGGACUGGGAAGAAGAAGUCUCCAAAGACAGGAGAGAAGCUUAACAGCCUUCCUGGAAGAACACGUCGAGGGAUGGGGUAGGGGGGACGAGAAGUGUGGCCUGUCCAGGAGAAGAGGACAGGCGAUGCAGACGGAAGGCACGGUGAGAGGAAAGGAAGACGAGGCGGGUGCCCGCCAGAGGUGCGUACUGCCAAAAUCACGUCCUUUUGGAUUAUGGCUUUCCCAGGCACCCUUGUCAAGUCUUCCUCCGUUCAGUUGAAGGAAUUAAUUUAGGGCACGGUUAUGAGAUGCCUCGAUUACUGCCAACACGAACCUUGCAUUUUUAUUAGUUCAUGUCACCCAUCGCCGGGGACAGGUUCUUUCGGAA